UCCCACCCUCUUCUUCCAUCCCGCCGUCGACGCAUGAAACCGGAGGAGAAUCUGCCGGAGAUGGAGGUGGUGGUGCUGGAGGAUCUUACCAUCAUGCUUGCCCGAAAGAUCAACUCGGCGACGCGGCAAAAACAUCAUGUCAGAGCGAAGACCACAAAUGAGGAAGCGCUCAAGAAGCAGAAGGCCGGCGGAGGGCGUGUUGGGUGGCGCACGUGGCGGUGAGCAUGCCGGCUGCGGACACGAUGGAGGUCGCGGCCUAGGCCGUGCUGGUCCGAUGGUGGCCCCCACCAUCAGACGCCGCCAUGGCCGGAGCAUUGCAAGGCUUUGUACUUCUACGCCGCCAAGCAGCUCGGUAGGUAGUCCACCACAACCGCCUCCGGGCAAGUGCCUUACAUCAUCGACGUAAAUGUGGUGUUGCUGCUCUUCUUGGAGUGUUCUUUGCCGCAGCUCGUCCGGGCGGGGAGCAGAUGGGCGACCGUACGUUGUUCGAUGCUAUGCCUUAAGCGGGGGAGAAGGUGUACGACGACGGGGAGAGGCGGAUGUUCGACAUCAUCCACGAUAGAGGCGGAGGAGGAUGUGACUAUGAGGACAGGCAGGUGGAAGACUCGGAUCCCACCAAGUUCGGCAACUACACCCAUACACAGCAGGGCUACACUCAGCCGGGAAUGUAGCAGUCCUACACCCAGACCAGCACAGGCACAGACCAGCAAGAUUGGGACGUCGGACAGGAGGAGGAGGAGGACGAUGAUCCGGAUGAUUUAGCCGGCGUUCCGAAGAAGAGGGUUAGAGGAGAAAACUUCAACAUGCGGGAGGACGAGUUAUUGUGUGAUGCAUGGUUGACCACUAGCCUCAAUCCGAUCCAUGACAUGGAGCAAAAGGGAAUAACUUUUUCGGCCAACAUUCACACAUGAUUCCAUGAACACAAGCAUUUGGCCCCUACUCCGACGUGGUCAUUCGUAACAGUGAAUAAAAGUCCAUCAACCAUAGAUGGUACACCAUCCAAGAGGUCGUCGAAGUAUUGCGGCCACUUGGCACAUCUCAUCGCAUAGUGUCCUAGUGGUGCGCAAAUCACCGAGCAACCUUCUCGUGCGUGGUUGGAGAAGAAAAAUUUCACCGUCAUGCAUUGUUGGUUGAAGUUGAAUGGGCAACCGAAGUGGAACCUAUAUAUAGCUAAGACCGCCGCCCAAGCCACCAAGGAAGAAACCGGUGACCCAACCGACUGAAUAAAAGAACCACCGAAGAAGGUUAGAAGAGGGUUUCGGGAAAUGAAGUGGGAGGAGGAGAGGGCGAAGCGAGAAGGUGCGGCGUCCAUGCUGAUGGAGAGGUACGAGGAUAUCUUCUUGAAGGAGGAGGGAUACGUCAAGUGCUUGGAAAUCAAGGAGGAAAAAAGGCGGAGAGGUUCAAAUUGUUGAUGGAGGUGACUGAGAAGAAGCUCAAGCUUGAAGAGAAGAGGGCCUUGAUCAAGGAAAAGAUGGACAUGCUCAAGAAGAAGAAGGCGAUGCUCGAAGAAAAGAAGGUGAAGAUCAUAGACGAUGCGGAGGACGCCAAGAUGUUGUCCUUAGAUUUGGAGUCUUUGAUGCCGACAUAAGAGUUAUUGUGCAAGCCUUCCACUACAAGAUGUUGCAGCUACAGAAAGAUGAGUUGGAGGUGGCGGAGAAGGAGGAGGAGGCGACGGAUAAGGAGGUGGAGGUUGCCUACACUGCGUCGACGACACCUUGCGCGCGGAGGCUUGGAUUACCGGUCUGGCGGGGAAGAAAAUCAAAAGCUUUUGCAUGAACUGUCGGACUAAUAUUCUUUUGUGAUCGGGCAUGUAAAAACUAAGCGUACUUGCCUUUGUUUGGUUGUGGUCGGGCA